AAUUAUUUGCCGAAAUAAUGCUUGAUAACGGAACUAGGUUGAAAAAUAUUUCUGGUAAAAAAAGAUAGGAAAGCGUUAAAGUUAGCUGGUGCUCGAACAUCUGCCAAAUCUGUCGCGGGGAACUACACUCUCGUUGUAAGGAGCAUCGUGCGCUCGUCGGACGCACAUGGUGUUUCACGCAUCGAACUAUAAUACGUAGU
rnacentral:misc_RNA from 1 species